AAUUUCUCCUUUACUGGUGUACUGGUUAUAUUUAAUACUGAUUGAGCUUCUGCGCUUAUGAACCUCAAACGCCAAACGGAUCAAACUCCAGUCACCAAAAGCACAACCUGACAAGUUCGGAUAGUUGACGUUUCUCAGUUAGAAUUUGUUUAUUUCGCGACUUUACUUCUAUCAUUAUGAAACCAUAUUUGAUACUCGCGGAGAAUCGGUUCUCAGUGUUUUCCUUUUUGGCAUUGGCCACGAUUUUAACCAUUAGUUCGGUGCCGUUAGUUUUUGCGACUUUUAGACAAAAUCCAGUGUAUUCAAACGAAUUUGCUGUUAAUGUUCCUGAAGGCGAGGCCACUGCGGAUCUUCUAGCUGCCAAACAUGGAUUCGUAAAUAAAGGACAGAUAGGAAGUCUAAAAGGAUUCUACCUCUUUGAGCAUCAAAACAUUCGCAAACGAUCCAUUGUGGCCAACAGUGAUGUGCACAAGACCCUCAGCGAAGAACCACAGGUAAGUCCCACCUUUAAUUUGGGA
rnacentral:lncRNA from 1 species